rnacentral:misc_RNA from 1 species
GAUGAAGAACGUAGCGAAAUGCGAUAAGUAAUGUGAAUUGUAGAAUUCAGUGAAUCAUCGAAUCUUUGAACGCACAUUGCGCCCGCCAGUAUUCUGGCGGGCAUGCCUGUUCGAGCGUCAUUUCAACCAUCAAGCCCUGCUUGCGUUGGGGUCCUGCGGCUGCCCGCAGGCCCUGAAAACCAGUGGCGGGCUCGCUAGUCACACCGAGCGCAGUAAUACAUCUCGCUUUGGGCGUGCGGCGGGUUCUUGCCGUUAAACACCCCCUUUUUACCAAGGUUGACCUCGGAUCAGGUAGGAAUACCCGCUGAACUUAAGCAUAUCAAUAAGCGGAGGA